rnacentral:snRNA from 1 species
AUAAUUACCAGCANGGAGGAUACCAUGAUCAAGAAAGUGGUUUUCCCAGGGUGAGGCUCUCCCAUUGCACUCUGUAUGCUGGCUUCUGCGAUUUCCCCAAGAGCAGGAGACUCAAUUGCAUGAUUUGUGGUAGUGGGGAAUAGCAUUUGAGCUUUUCCCUU